rnacentral:snRNA from 1 species
GUGCUCACUUCGGCAGCACACAUACUAAAAUUGGAACGAUACAGAGAAGAUUUGCAUGGCCCCUGCGCAAGGAUGACACGCAAAUUUGUAAAGAGUUAAACAAAUUA